rnacentral:lncRNA from 1 species
UCUUUUACGGGUAGACUCACACCUUAGAGUAUCAAGGGCACUCUUAAGAACCUCUAACUUUUACGGGUAAGUUAGUACCUUAGAGUAUCAAAGAACUCUUAAAAACCUAGAAAUCUUUCAAGGUAGAUUCGACCUAAGAGUUUUCCCGGAAACUCUAUAAAAUCAAACUAGAGCUUUAUGGUUGAGCUCGAAAACCUUCUCUCACACUUUGGUACUAUUGAGACAACCCUCUCAACCAAAGUGGACACACACAAGAGGUGAUUAGAGGAGUGGAAUAUUAAAGCAAACAAUACUUCUUACUUGUAAAGAUGAACAAGAAGAUUAGAAAAAGAAGUUGGAAAGCUUUUGAAGCAUUGGAAAGCUAAGACACUUGAGCACUUGAAAGCUUGGAAGCUUGGAGGCAAAACGUGUGGGCAAGUGUGGAGUGAAAGCUCUUGAGUUUGCUUGUAGUGUGGUGAGUGAAAAUGAGGGGUUUACCCUUCUAUUUAUAGCCUUGGUCACUCAAUGUCCACCCUUGGAUCUUCAAUGGAUGGCUCCUUGAUUUCUCACAAAAAUCCAAGCUUUGUCUUUGAUCUUAUCUUGAAUAGUGCUUUUCUUGGAUAGAGUUUGUUGGAGAAUCUUAUCUUUGUAUAAAUUUAAACUUGAAUAGUGUUUUGUCCCAUUGAAAUAUUAUACAUUGAAUAAAGUAUCGAAAGAUAAUAAUAAUAAUAUUCAAGGUAAAAAUGUAAUUAUUCCAAAUACUAAUAUUCAAGGUAAAAAUGCAAUUCUCCCAACUUGACUUUUAACUUUGACUUAAAGCCUUAACUCAAAUGAUUAAUUAAUUAACUAGAGUUAGGUUUAAUAUCGAUUGGCUUAUUUAACCCCUAUUGAUUAAUAGUGUAAUUAGGGUUUAAAUUGACAUGAAUUAAAAUAUAAUCCUAUGUCGACAAUUUUGUUUCUACAUUCUCCCCCUUUGUCGAUGGCAUAUAUGUUUUAAUUCAUGUCUAGUCAAUAUUCUAUUUUACCCUUAUGAGCAUGCUCCCCCUGAAUUAUUGACCGAUAAUAUUCAAUUUAAAAGCCGUGGAUCAUGCAUGAUUUCUCCCCCUUAAAACAAUAAGGUAUCGACAAAGUUAAAAUAGAUACUUGUGAAAUAUCUCCCCCUUAAUGAUAGGACAUAUCUAAUUUGUGGAGAAAAUAAAACUUCAUACCUUAUUGAGCUUUGAUCACAAAUUUGAUUUGUGUGGUUGACCAAAUGUGACGUCUUGUUUAUAAGAGUGUUAGUCAAUCAUAAAGGAGAAAUAACAUGUAAUUUAUGCUCAUUGAUAAAAUAUUGGAUUGAAGCCAAUUUUGAUAUACAUUAUAAGGCAAGGAUGAUAAUUUAAAUUGCCUUGUGCUAAGAUCAUGCAAUGAAUAAUAAUCCAUGUGUGUGUUAUGGAUGAAUAUGAUCUUAACAUUUAUGGAUUUAAAGAUUUUAUAAUGUUAUAAUCCAUAAAAUUAGUGACAUAUAAAUAAGCAUUUAACUUCGAAAGAGUAUUAUUUAAACAUUGGAAGUUUUGUUGAUUUUCAUGUUUUAGUGAAUCAUGACAUGUGUGUGAUAUGAUAUUGAUAUUCAUUAAAUUACUUUAAGAAAAAGGUUUUAAAAUCCAUGUCUUAGUGACAUAUAAUCAUGCAAAUAUUCACUAAGUUUUAAAAGAUUUAAAAAUUUCAUUUUAGUCCUUAAAGUAGUAAUAAUAAAACUUCACUUAAAAAAAAUUUCAUUUAAGCCAUUUGAAGUUAUAAUGAAUACUUAGAUUAAUACUUAAAAAAUUUCAUUUUAAACCUUGGAAGUAUUAAAUAUUUCUAAGUAAUUUUUCGAUUAAAACUUCAUGUAAAUAUUAAUUCUAAGUCCCUGAAGUUUUACAUAAAUUUAUAUUCACUGUAAAGAUAUCAUUUUGACCCUUAAGUUUUAGUGAAUCUAUUAAAACUUAAAAACUUCAUAAACGAUUUAUGUUUAAGUCCUUGAAGUUUCACAUAACUUUAUAUUCACUGAGAAAUAUAAUUUUAAUCCUUAAGUUUCAGUGAAUCAUUUUAAACUUAGAAACUUCAAAAAUAGUUUAUGUUUAAGCCCUUGAAGUUUCUGGCUUAUCCAUGCAACCCUUAAAUAUUUGAAUCUCUAAAGGAUCUUGAAGAUAUGGAGUUAAUCAUAUUUAUUUAAUGGUUGGAUUUUUGAUGAUUUUUGAUGAUGAACUGUUUAAGAAUCAUAUCUACUCUUAAGUCUUUAAUACUUAGUGAGAAAUUGAUUAUCUAAGAGCUAGCUAGGAUCUUAGCAAGGCUUGUACUUUAGUGACUUGUAUCUUAGCAAGAUAUUGAUUCUUAAUUUUACUCGAUAAUAGAUAAUGCUGAGUUUUAUCUCAUCAUGUCUUUAUCUAUUAUCGAAAGCUGUAAGCUGAAUAAUAGUCAAUUUAGAGCAUACCUUUUGGUGGUCUCAAGACACCUUUUGGCAGAUUUUGUCUCUGUUGCAAGUGCUCCAAUGUCGAGGAUGUGGUUGCCGAAGUCUUGCAGGUGCUGUAGCUCGGCUUGCGUUGUGUUAAGUCUUGCAGAUUUCUCAGAUCUUUCUCCGGGUUUUGCGAAAGUUGUGUAUAGUAAUUUAAGAUCACGUUUUCCAGAGCUUAUUUUAACCAAGAACAGAUGCAAUAGUGUUUCAUAUAUAGUAUAGAGCAGUGCAUGUGUUAUAGUUUAAAUCAUGCAUAAGAUUUUGUUCAUGUCAAUUAUGCAAGUAAUUUUAUUUCAUUUUGCAUACGUGUGCAAUAGCAUGUGUAGGAUUACAAGUAUAGUUAUCAGCAUAUGCUAUGACAUAUUUUAACCCAUAGGCAUGUCCAUCUAAGCAACUAUUUAUAGUAACAUGGUAUAUAUAAUAGACAUACAUUUAAAUUAAGCUCUUUACAUAGUUUUAAGUCAUGCAUAAGAUCAUUUUAUUUGUGCACGAGUACAUGUAUAACAUUAUAUGAUAAAUUAAAUUAGCAUGCAUAUACUUAGUUUAUUGCAUGAGUUAUAUAUUACGAUAGUCAUGCAUAUAGGUCUUAGAUUUAUAUCAAUGCAUAUCAAUGUGAUCUUAGUUUAAAUAUUAAGAUUAAAGCUUGAGAUGCAUUGACUAAUAAUUAAUCAAAUUUCACUAAGCUCACAUAUACUCAUAGAUCUUCUGAUUUUUGAAUGAACUUCUUGAUCUAAGGGUUUAGUGAAGAUGUCAGCCAUUUGAUCUUCAGUAGAAAUAUAUUCUAGGCAGAUAUUUUUCUUUUCUACAUGAUCUCUAAGGAAAUGAUGUCUGACAUCAAUGUGUGUAGAUCUUGAAUGUAACACAGAGUUUUUUGAUAAACAAAUUGCACUCUUGUUGUCACAUUUAAGAGCUACUGUUUCUAAAGCUAUAUCGUAGCCAGAUAAUGUUUGUUUCAUCCACAAAAUUUGAGUGCAUGCAUUAGAUGCUGCCAUAUAUUCUGCUUCAGUUGUGGAUAAAGCAAUACUAUUUUGCUUUUUACAUGACCAUGCUACAAGUGAGCUUCCCAACAGAAAGCAUGUUCCACUAGUGCUUUUUCUGUCAGUCUUACAUCCACCAAAGUCAGCAUCACAGUAUGUUGUCAGUGUGAAUGAGUUGUCCUUAGGGUAGAAUAAUCCAAGUGUAAUUGUUCCUUUGAUAUACCUGAUUAUUCUUUUAACCGCUUUGAGAUGUGACUCUUUUGGGUCUGAUUGGAAUUUGGCACAUAAGCAGAUUGCAAACAUGAUGUCUGGUCUGCUGGCUGUUAGGUAUAACAGUGAUCCAAUCAUUCAUCUGUAUUUCUUAAUGUCUACUGAUUGACCUUCAACAUCUUUAUCCAAUUUAAGUGUUGAACUCAUCGGAGUUGGCAUAGAUUUAGAUUCAGCCAAGUCAAAUUUCUUUAUCAAUUCCUUAGCAUAUUUGACUUGACUUAGGAAUAUUCCAUUCUCCUUCUGUUUGACUUGUAGACCUAAGAAAAAAGUCAACUCUCCCAUCAUACUCAUUUCAAAUUCGUCUUCCAUUUGUUUGAAAAAUUUCUUAUAUAGAGUAUCAUCGGUUGAUCCAAAUAUAAUGUCAUCAACAUAGAUUUGGAUUAGAAUAAUGUCAUGAACAAUGUAUUAUCUAUACUCUCCAUUCUAAAUUCCUGAGAAAUGAGAAAGUUUCUUAGUCUUUCAUACCAAGCUCGAGGUGCUUGUUUCAAACCAUAGAGGGCUUUCUUAAGUUUAAGGACAUGAUCGGGGUUUUUGUAAUCUUCGAAUCCGGGGGGUUGUCUAACAUAUACUUGUUCAUUGACUAUUCCAUUCAGGAAUGCACUCUUUACAUCCAUUUGAUAUAAUUUGAAAUCCUUAUAGCCUGCAAAGGAUAGGAGCAUUCUGAUAGAUUCUAGUCUAGCUAUUGUUAUGGAAUAAGCAUUGUUUUUCCUAUAUCCUUUAGCAAUUAUAACUCCCUUGGAGUUAAUGAUUGAGCAUAGAUGUUUUUCAAAUUUAACUGUGCAAUCAUUAUCACAUAAUUGGCUUAUGAUGAUAAGAUUAUGUUUAAGGCCAUUAACUAAGUAAACAUCUCUAAGAAAUGGUCUAUCUAUAUUACCUAUAUUACCCCUACCUAUAAUGGUACCUUCGUUGUUAUCGGCGAACUUGACCUUUGGUGAGACAUGCCUGAUUACGGCAGUCACUCCCAGCAACGCCUUUCAACAAGGACUAGAGUUCCGUCGCUUUGGCCGGACCCCCGGAGAGCUCCCACGGUGCGGAACACGUUCAUCGUCCAGAUCGCCGAGUUAGCCCGUAAGUCGCCGGUUGGACUACCAAGUCGCCGACAUUAGGGAUAAGUCGCCGAGUUAGGGCCAAGAUCGGCAGUAUGGUAGACUGCACAUCUUGCCCCUGGAAACUCGGCGAGUUAGCCCUAACUAGGCGACUUCCAUACCUGAAUCGUCGACUUACGACCGUUACUCGCCGACAGCCAACGUCAUAAAUGUUACCAUAUAUGACCAUAGGCGCGAUGUCCGCCUUUGAUUGCGCCCUCCGAGACCCUAUAAAAAGGGUCCUAAGGGGACACUCAAAGGCACAACACAAGUUCCACUCUCACCAGAGUAUCACUAAAAAACUCGGCGACUCUCACUAGAAUAGCCUAGUUUCUACUUGCAGGUAUUUGACGUAGAGCGCGCGUCGUGGACUCCAGAGCCUCCGGGAUCACCUCGCACCACCGCGAGCCCUGGCAGCAGAUUCAGUACUUCAUCAGCUGGCGCCGUCUGUGGGACUACCGAACCACCGGUAUCCCGUCGUAAUCGCGAUUUUUUUUGCAAAAUCCGGUUUGAGCUCUCCUAGAGGGUUCGCCGAGUUUGUGAAAAAGUCGCCGAGUUAGAUCGUCCGAUUCUCGGUCCAGGUCCGAUUUAGCCUUAAAUCGUCGACUUAUCUUUGAGAAUCACCCGAUCCGGAAUAUCAUCUGCUAGCUAAGAGUGCUGUCCACGACCUUGUUCGGAAAACACAUCGAAAUCUAAAGUCACCGAGUUUUCCCCUAACUCGCCAACUUGUUUUUUGUUUUUCCGAACAAACUCAGUCAGGUCACCUCCCCGCUUUGGUACUUCUCCGCUUUUGUUUUCAUGGCAAUCAUCGAAAAACAAAAGCACCCUUACGCCAUAAGAAAUAAGGGUAAAAUGUCAGCAACUGAGCUGGAGCAGGGCGAGCAAUCCCGACCAAAGGGACCCAGCAAUGCUCGACCUGAUGAAACAAACUCGGUUCCUCCACACAUCGAGGAACACAUAGUGCCCAAGGCUCCACCCACCUUGGAAGAAAGGUUGUUCAGUUUUAUGAACAACAUAGAAAGAAGGAUGACUAACCUCAAGUAAGCGAGGAGUCAAAGGACCACCACCAUCCGCGAAAAAGCAGAUGAAUCUGGGUCCAUCUACUCUCCAUCUGCGGAGAAAACCAAACAGAGUUCCCGUCUUAAAAUGGGACCCAGUAAGAGUCGCUCCGAAAGGACUCUUACCACUCGGUUUGUAGAGGAUCUUCGUCGGAAACUGGCCACCGACCCAGCUGUCGGCAAUCCACACGAGAUCCUAAGGAUCAAAAGUGCUCCUCUUCGCGAAGACCUUUUAAGGGGAUCUUUCCCACCUACCUGGCGGGUACCCAGGAUUGAAGCGUAUGACGGUUCAAGUGAUCCACAAGAUCACGUGAACCUCUACCUUAACAUCCUGGAACCGCAAACCAUCGAUGAUGGGUUGUUGUGUCGGGCAUUCCCCGGUACUCUCAAGGGCAGUGCUUAUCGAUGGUUCUCCGGUCUGCCAGCUGGCACAAUCACCAGCUUCGCAGACCUCUCAUCCAAGUUCAUCGCCCAGCAUAUGGCGAUGAUAAGGAUUAAACACAGUGCCAACGCACUUCUGGCACUUCGACAGGAUAAGCUGUCUCUGCGGGAUUAUACGAUCAAGUUCACAACAAUGAUGAUAGAAGUGAAUGAUCUAAUCUCAAGUGUGGCCAUAGCGGGAUACAUCAGAGGAUUGGUCCCCUACUCCUCUCUGGCCCAAAAUCUGACUCUCCACAAGGUGGACUCUCUACCCGACCUCUUCCAACGCGCUCAAUUGUACAUUGAAGUGGAAGAGGAGGAUGAGAACAAGCUAGCUGAACUUGGGACUCCUAGCUUUAAGAAACCUAAGUUUGAGAGGAAGGGGUACAGUGGAAACAACAAUUUCCACGACACCUCUAACAGGUACACCAACAACAGGGCUGAAACUUCCAAAAAAGAAUGGAAGCCUAGGCACGAUAACAAGGUGUACCAAACCUCAACCAGCCAAACGCCAAAGGGUGCAACUCUACUAUGGAAAAGAAACACCCCGCUUACAAUCAGCAAAGGCGAGCUGUUUGAGAAGCUAAAGAACCGAGCAGAUCUACCUGCCCCUCGGUCUUUAGACCCUGCAAGCAAAGAUGGCCGCACGCAAACUGGGAAAUACUGCAAAUUUCGCAAGGACUGCGGCCAUCUAACAGACCAUUGCAGGGAAUUCUCGUCUUUUGUCGAGCAGUUGAUCUCAAAGGGAAAACUUGGCAACUUCGUCAAAAGAUCCCGAGGACGAGACAAUUGCAAAUUUGACCCAAAGGGGAAGCGUCCACGCUCUCCUUCGCCAGAUAGUGACAACAGCGAGAACCGCCAACGGAAGACCAUCAAUAUGAUAUUUGGUGGUGGAUCCGUUGGCAGAAUAGAGGAUAUGCCCGAAAAGUGUUGAUGUCACAAUCAACACCUCGAGACAACGGAAAACGGGUCCGCGAGGAGAAGUCAAUAUACUUCUUCAAAGAGGACCUGGACGAUGUCCUGCAACCUCACGAGGAUCCACUCGUGAUCCAAGCAGACAUCGGUCCCGAGUCGAGAGGAUGAUUGUCGACAGCGGCAGCUCUGCGGACAUCCUUUAUAUGGACACUUUUACCAAGAUGGGCCUUAAAAGGGAGGAACUAUCUCCCUGUAAGGAAGCCAUCUACGGUUUCACUAACAUCGCCGCCCCAGUGGCCGGUGUUAUUGAUUUGAAAGUCUCCAUCGGUUCCAAGCGAGGAAGGGUUAGCCGAACGUGUCAUUUUAUAGUAGUGGAAGUAGAAUCCACUUUUCAUGGCAUAUUCGGACGCCUCUUCAUCCACGGAAUCCAAGCAGUCCCGUCCUCUUAUCACCAAUGCAUUCGAUACCCAUUAAACGGGUUCGUUGCAACUGUCAAAGGAUCACAAAAGGAUUCUAGACAGGGGCAUAUGAAGGCAACCCAGCUGACAAGGCUUAACAACAUGCUCAUCCAUGCCCCACCUGACAUCGAGGAGAGGGAAAAAUUACAACAUGUGGACGAGACUGAGGUAUAUCAGCUGGAAGGGGGACAAGUGGCAUUAGGGAAGGGGCUACCCCCUUCCUUAAGAGCCAGGCUUGUGACUGUCCUGGAGGAGCACCAGGACAGGUUCGUUUGGGAGGGUGAGGCACCGACACAGAUUGCGCAUCAUAUCAUGACGCACAAACUUAACGUCGACUCAUCCAUUCCAGCUCGACGCCAGAAACGUCGAGUACUCACUUCUGACAGGCGGGAGGCAGCCAAUGAGGAAAUAUCGAAACUCCUGAAUGCAGGGCACAUUCGGGAGGUUCGAUACCCGACUUGGUUGGCUUACCCCGUCCUUGUCAAGAAGCCCAAUGGCAAGUGGCGCAUGUGUAUUGAUUUCACUGAUCUCAAUAAAGCAUGCCCCAAGGACAGUUACCCGUUGCCAUCUAUCGACGAACUAGUCGAUGGAGCAUCCGGUACGAGCUCCUCUCUAUGAUGGAUGCCCACUCAGGAUACAACCAAAUCCUAAUGCAUGAGCCUGAUGAGGAAAAAACAUCCUUCAUCACGGACGCAGGGACAUUCUGUUACAGAGUAAUGCCAUCCGGCUAGCUUAAGGAAUGCUGGGGCUACAUUCCAAUGCUUGAUGGACAAGGUUUUCGCAAACCAGAUUGGGCGCAACGUUUCCGCUUACGUCGAUGAUAUCCUAGUCAAGUCGUCAAGCAUGGAAAAACACCCUGAUGAUCUGAGAGAAACCCUUGAUACAUUAAAGCAAUACGGAAUGAAGCUCAACCCAGCCAAGUGCGCAUUCGGAAUCAAGGAAGGCAAGUUCCUUGGUUUCUAUGUAGGUCAGCACGGGAUCAAACCUAAUCCCGACAAAAUCCAAGCUAUCCUUGAAAUGGAAGCCCCCCGCACAAUCAGAGAAGUACAAAGGUGGACGGUCGAAUUAGCGCACUCAGUCGUUUUAUAUCACAAACGGCUGACAAGUGUAAACCGUUCUUCCAAUUACUGAAAACUGCGGCUAAGGGUAGUAUCACUUGGACACCAGAGUGCGAGGAGGCAUUUGCGAAAUUAAAAGCGCAUAUGUCCUCACUCCCCAUGCUGACAUCACCCAAAGAGGGAGAGGACCUAUACUUAUAUAUAGCGGCCUCAGAAGAAGCCGUGAGUGCGGUCCUCAUUGCGCAGAGGGAAACGGACCAGGUCCCUAUAUAUUACCACUCGAGGCGACUACAAGGUGCUGAACUACGAUACUCUCCUAUCGAGAAGAUCGUAUUUGCAGUGAUCCAUGCUUUUCGUCGCUUUCGAGUUUACUUCUUAGCGCACACGAUUGUGGUACUAACAUCGUGUCUUUUGCGCCGUCUACUUCACAAACCCGACAUUUCUGGGAGGUUGACCAAAUGGACAAUCGAACUCAGUGAAUUCGACUUAGACUUCCGACCAGCCACUGCCAUCAAGAGGCAAGCUGUGGCAGACUUCAUUGUCGAAUUCACACAACCCAAUUUGACCCAACCUUGGGUUGUAGAAGUGGACGGCUCGAGUUGCAGCACAGGCUCGGGUAUCGGAGUGAAAAUCCAUAGCCCGGAUGGAAAAAACUACGAACACUCGGUACGACUUCACUUCCCGGCUUCUAACAACGUCGCGGAAUAUGAAGCGGCCAUACAUGGCCUGAAGCUGUUAAGAACUCUCGGCGCUGAGAAUGUCACACUCCGCACUGACUCCCAGCUCGUGGCUCGGCAAACCACUGGUGAAUUCGCUUGCAAGGAACUACAAAUAACCAAAUAUGUGGAGGCGAUGGUAGCACUCACUAAGCAGUUCGCCGAGUUCAAAAUCGAGCAAAUCCCUCGAAUCCAAAAUUCACCCGUCGACGCUUUGGCACGUUUAGCAUCAGCCUGGGAAGGAGGGCAACGCGAGAUUUUAGUGGACUCUAUACUCCAGCCCACAUUCCAAGUAUUGGCUGUUACCUCCAACCCCCAAGAGGAUUGGAGACAACCAAUGUUGGCAUUCAUUCAGAAUGGAGUACUUUUUAACAAUAAAGGGGAGGCCAAAAAGUUGAAACAUAAAGCAGCGAAAUAUUGUGAUAUCGGAGGGGUGCUUUACAAAAAGUCCUUCGAUAGCCCGCUGCUACGCUGUUUGGCCCAACCCGAUACAGAUAGGGUUAUUCAGGAAGUACACGAAGGCUCGUGCGGACUCCAUGAAGGAGGAAGAGCACUGGCCUUCAAAAUCAUAAGGCUAGGAUACUAUUGGCCCACUCUAAGGUUGGAAGCUCGCACUUACGUCCGCAAGUGCCGAGCAUGUCAGCUGCACAGCCCCAUGCAGCAGAAACCAUCCGCGGACAUGACUCCGAUUCUGAGUUCAAUCCCAUUCGCAAGGUGGGGGCUGGAUAUCGUAGGUCCAUUCCCCUCCUCAACAUCCCAGGCUCGUUUCAUCUUUGUAGCAGUAGAUUAUUUUACAAAGUGGGUCGAGGCUCAGGCUGUAGCAAAAAUCACUCAGGAUGCGGCAGUUAAGUUCAUCUACCGCUCCAUAGUCUGUCGAUUCGGAAUUCCCCAAGACAUUGUCACGGACAAUGGCACACAAUUCACAGGGGGAAAAUUUUCAAGAAUGUGCGAAGACCUAAACAUAAAACUCCACUUCGCCUCCGUUUACCGACCUCAGGCAAACGGGCAAGUGGAGGUUACCAACAAGGCCAUCGUGCAAGGAUUGAAAAAGAAAAUCGAAUCUGCCAAAGGGACUUGGGCAGACAAGUUGUGCGAAAUCCUAUGGGCAUAUCACACAACGAGUAAAAACCCCACGGGCAACACCCCUUUUGCUAUGACCUAUGGAGUGGAAGCGGUCGUACCAAUCGAGAUGAGUAUACCAACGUAUCGAAUCUCGAAGUACGACCAACAAACAAAUGACCAAAACCUAGCCACAGAGCUAGAGUUGAGGGACGAAACCCGUGACGAGGCGGACCUGCGAAACGAAUCGUACAAGGCAAGCGUAUCAAGGUACCACAAUCGCCAAGUACGCAAAAAAGUUUUCUUGCCAGGAACUUUCGUCACGCGAAAAGCUAGCAUAACAGAAAGGAAUAGGCCAAGAAUUAAACUAUCAUCCAACUUCGAAGGUCCCUACAUCGUCGAAGAGGAAAAAAGGCCAGGAAUUUAUCGCCUACGACGACAGGAUGGAACGAUGGUUCCAAACACCUGGCAUGCGGACAACAUGCAGCAGUACUACGCAUAGUACUCAUAGCAUUAUGUUUAUUUUCUUUUUCCUAGUAUGUAUGUUAGUUAAUUAUAGAAAUCUAUUUUCAUAUUCUAACCCGUAAGGAUACCCUAAAAAAUCUAUUGUGUCGCUUCAGCCUCAGUAGAACAAAGAUCAUUCCGUCGCUACGGCCCCAAUGAUUCUAUCCAAUCUUGUCGCUUCGGCCUUGAUACGGAUCAAUAAGUCACUCCGUCGCUAGGAUAGGAGUCAGACUACAUCCUCAGGGUUCAAAUCCAGGGUUAGAACGAAUAGGUCCAAUUCAGACACGCGAACCUAGAAUUGCGACCACAACCCAUAUUCGCACGAGCGAAUCAGGAAUUAGUGGAUGUUAUAUCAAUCUAUUUUCAACCCUAAAAGUUAAUUUAGAAGUAUAAAUUAUUUUCGAGUUGAACUAGUAACUAAACUACGAUUCGUACGACCAAGCUUACGCCCUAAGUGGCUAAGUAGAGUUAACAGAAUCUAACUUACGUCCAGAGCUCGGAGACUCGACGGUGUUGAGCACCGCCUCUAAGCUCUCAUCAAUGUCUGUGUUCAAAAUGUCGGCGACCAGAGCUUCGGUCUCCGACAUGGUGAGUUGGGGAAGCGACGGUUGGUCUGCUAUAUGUCGGCGAUAUAGGAACAAAGUAGGCGACUUAGUGGUGAGUACUGGUGAUUGUAAUGCUUGUCGGCGAGAUAGGAAGAGACUCGGUGACUUAGCAAAGGAUUAGGGUUUAGGUGAUUUGGGGGAAAGUGAUGUGCGGAUUAAAAUAAUCGAUUCGCUAUUUAUAGACCUUGGACAAAUUGCAAAAACCCCUCGGAAAAUUCAGAAAUUACGCGAAGGAAAAUCGCUAAUUGAUUUCCAAAUCUACAAAACUCGGCGAGUUUCCCGCAAACUCGCUGAGUUUGGGCAAAAAUCACGGGAUACGAAGGAGGAACUUCCAUAUUUGGAAAAUUUGCAAAUAUUUCCCAAGAUCCCAAGGAUUUUCUAAGAAAUCCGGCAGCUCAUAUUAAGAGUCGCCGAGUUUAUAAGAAAGUCGUCGAUCUAGGUCAGCAAACCUCUAGGCUUCUCACAGAACAACCCCGAUACUAAGUCGUCGAGUUAAUACAUUAAGUCCCCGACUUAGGAUAUCACAUAGUAUCUUAGGGGGGGAGUAUCACAAGCUCCUUUCAGCAAACCUCUAAGUUGCUCACAGAACAACCCCGACACUAAGUCGCCGAGUUAAUACAUUAAGUCACCGACUUAAGAUAUCACAUAGUAUCUUGGGGGGGAGAAUCACAAGCUCCCUUCAGCAACAAAAGGAGAGUACCACAAGCUCUCCCGGCAUUUCUGUCGCUCUGGCCAGAAAUCGUUAUAUUUCAGAGGGGAGUAUCACAAGCUCUCCCGACAUUUCUGUCGCUCCGGCCAGAAAUCGUCAUAUUUCAAAGGGGAGUAUCACAAGCUCUCCCGACUUUUCUGUCGCUCCGGCCGGAAAUUGUCAAAUUUCGAGGGGGGGUAUCACAAGCUCUCCCGACAUUUCUGUCGCUCCGGCCAGAAAUCGUCAAAUUUCGAGGGGGAGUAUCACAAGCUCUCCCGACACUUCUGUCGCUCUGGCCGGAAGUCGUCAAAUGUGAGCACGGUAAGUCUGUCGCUUCGGCCAGAGUUACCAAAGAUUGGUCCGUGCAAAAGGAGAAUAUCACGAGAGGUAAAAUCGCACAGUAAGUUAAAUUGGUCAAUAAUAAUAUGCGUUUUAGACUGAUUUAGUUGUUUUGCAGGAAGUUUUCUUUUUUGCAGGUAUUAUUCUGUCGCUUCGGCCAGAACGUUUUCUUUUUUGCAGGUAUUAUUCUGUCGCUUCGGCCAGAAUCAGACUCUGAUAGUGAGUCAAUCUAUCUUGCCGCUUUUGCCUUGAUAGACUAGAGAUCAUUCUGUCGCUUUGGCCUUAAUGAUCUCAACCCAUCUUGUCGCUUUAAGCCUUGAAGGGGUAACCGUCGUUGCGGACAUUAAGUCGCUCUUGAUCAGGGUGGACUAUAAACAUUAGUUCUAUCGCUUCGGCUAGAACUCGGUUCUAUCGCUUCGGCUAGAACCCGAUUCUGUCGCUUCGGCCUGAAUCAGAUUCCGUCACUUCGGCCGGAAUUAAUCUUGUCGCUUCGGCCUUGAUAAACACAAUGCAGUCGCCCAUGAUCAGGGUUAGACUAUAAAUAGGGAGUUUCCGUUGGCCUAGAAUUCGAUUCUGUCGGUUCGACCCUACAGAGUCAAUCCAUUCUUGUCACUUAGGCCUUAAUGGAUACGAAAUCAGUACGUCACUGUGGGCGGAAUAAUUCGAUCUCAUCUUGUCGCUUCGGCCUUGGUGCGGAUCACACACUGAACCUUGGUUGGGGGGGGUACUGGCGAUACAUGCAUGUUUCUUGUGCUCUCUUCAGGGGGGAGUACUGGUGAGACAUGCCUGAUUACGGCAGUCACUCCCAGCAACGCCUUUCAACAAGGACUAGGGUUCUGUCGCUUUGGCCGGACCCCCGGAGAGCUCCCACGGUGCGGAACACGUUCAUCGUCCAGAUCGCCGAGUUAGCCUGUAAGUCGCCGAUUGGACUACCAAGUCGCCGACAUUAGGGAUAAGUCGCCGAGUUAGGGCCAAGAUCGGCAGUAUGGUAGACUGCACAUCUUGCCCCUGGAAACUCUGCGAGUUAGCCCUAACUAGGCGACUUCCAUACCUGAAUCGCCGACUUACGACCGUUACUCGCUGCCAGCCAACGUCAUAAAUGUUACCAUAUAUGACCAUAGGCGCGAUGUCUGCCUUUGAUUGCGCCCUCCGAGACCCUAUAAAAAGGGUCCCAAGGGGACACUCAAAGGCACAACACAAGUUCCACUCUCACCAGAGCAUCACUAAGAAACUCGGCGACUCUCACUAGAAUCGCCUAGUUUCUACUUGCAGGUAUUUGACGUAGAUCGCGCGUCGUGGAUUCCAGAGCCUCCGGCAUCACCUCGCACCACCGCGAGCCCUGGUAGCAGAUUCAGUGCUUCAUCAACCUUCUUAGUAGUAGGCAAGUCGGUCAAGUCUGUCAGCAGACUUGAAUCUCCAGUCAUGUGCCUUGUGCAUCCACUGUCGAACAUCCAUUUUGACACAUAUUUUUCCUGAAAGAGUUGAAUAACCUUUUGGUACCCAUACUGCAUUGGGUCCAGAUGAAUUAACAUAGUUGAUUUGCUUAUAAUUUUUUAACUCAUCCUUGGUCAUCCAUUUUUGUUUUGGAUGAUUCAUCUUAGACAGAUCUUUCUUUUUCUUAAGAUGAAUAGGUUUUCUGUAGCUAGAUUCUCUUACAAAAUAAUCAUUAUAAGUUAAAGCAUGUAAAGGUUUUUUAAUAGGUGCAUUUGAUUCAAACCCUAAGCCAAAUUUCUUUUGACCUGAGCUUGAACCUUGCAUCAUGUCAUUUAGCUUAGAUGAACUAUUUAAGAAUUUUUCAAGAACAUUAUUCUUCUGACCUAUUCUUUUGAUUGGUAAUUGCAUAUCAUUACAUUUUUCAGAUAAUUUUUGUAUGGUUUCUACAUGCUCAAGUAUGAUUUUGUCCUUAGAUUCUAUUUCUGUAUUGAGCAUGAUUGUUUCUUUUUCUUUUAACAUAAUAUCUUCUUCAAAAUUAUCUAUUAUUAAUUCUAGCAAUUCAAUCUUAUCAUCAUCUAUUUCCUUAGGUUGAUUUUCUUCAAAUUCUAAAAUGUUAAGCAAUUCAAAGUUUUGACUCUUAAGUAUCUUAAUUUUUUCUUCAUCUUUGUUUAAUUUACUUGUGAGUUUUAGAUUUCUUUCUUUCAAUUGCAUGCAUUCUUUUGUGAUUCUUCUAAUUCAAUAGAUUGAUCUAUAUGUGAUUUAUUCAUGCAUUCUAGUUUUAAUGACUUAGUUAAUUUUUUCUCAUUUUUAUAUUUUUCUAUUAAUUCUAGAUAUGUUUCUUCUAAAAAAUUAAAUCUAGUAUUUGCAAAACUUACCUCAGAGUUGCUUUCAUGAGCCAUGAGACAAUCUUCUUGAUCCGAGUCGGAGUCUGUCCAUUGUGCCUGAUUUGCUCUUUCUUUCUUUAGCAGAGGACAUUCUGGUUUGAUGUGUCCAGACUUGUUGCAUAGAUAACAGAUUGGUUCUUUUGACUCUUUGCUCAUUCUUCUGUCGAACUUCUGAUGACUUGACCUUGAGUCUUUCUUCUCUUUCCUCUUUUUCAGAUAUCUUCUCAGAUGAUUGGUGAUCAUUGCUAGAUCAUCUUCUGAUGUUUCAUUGUCAGGUUGACUUUUAAGAGCAAUAUCCUUUUUCUCUUCUUUAGCUCUAGAGAUGAAUCUUUCUUCUUCAUAGGCCAUCAGAUUUCCACAGAGUUCCACAACUAUAAGUUUGUUGAGAUCAUGAGCCUCUUGGAUAGCAUUCCUUUUGGAGUAGUACUUGUUUGGAAGGCUCCUCAGAAUUUUGCUUACUUGCUUCUUCUCAGUUACUGGAUCUCCUAGUCCAGCCAGAUCAUUAACUAUUUGUGAUAGUCUAAUGUUCAUCUCUGCGAUAGUCUCGUCUUCCUUCAUAGAGAAUCUUUCGAACUGAGAGGUAGCAUGUAACAGCUUGUUUUCUUUAACAUGGGAGGUUCCUUCAUAUAGAUCCUCCAAUGCUUUCCAUACCUUAUGAGUUGUAUUCAAGUAUCGAAUUCUGCUGUACUCAGAUUCAUUGAGUGCUCCAUAUAGAGCAUUCAAUGCUCUUGAGUUGUUGUUUUCCUUGAAGAUGUUCAUUUCUCCCCAAGUCUCUUCAUUGCUUGUUGGAAUUUCAUAAUCCUCUAAUAUGAUCUUCCAUACUCCAUUGUUGAUUGACUUCAAGUAUAACUUCAUCUUGUUCUUCCAGAAGUCAUACUUUACUCCAUCGAACCUGAGAGGUUUGUUUGACGCAAGACCAGUGUUGAAUUCACCAUUUGGUGUCAUAGUUGUUGUUGUAAGAUGUUAGUCAAACUUCAAUGGUACUUGGCUCUGAUACCACUUGUUGGAUCGAGAUCCGAGGCUACAAGGGGGGAUAAUAGCCUCUUUUCGAUUUAUGCAGAUUAAUAGCGGAAUUACCUGCACACACUUAAGUACACAAAUGGUUGUAUAAUAAUGAUAUAGAGAUAUUAUGACUUUGAUUGAUAUAAUAACGUAAUUAUUACUCUUCGAAGCUUACCACAGUAUAUGAAUACUGAGUCAACUUGCUUGAUAGUGUUUUACAAACAACUAUAGUAUAUGAGUACUAUGUUAUAUUGUAAACACAAAUUGUAUUGUAGAGUAAAUGACUAGAUAACUGGAUAUAUUGAUAAGCAAGUAAAUGACCAGAUAACUGGAUAUAUUGAUAAACAAGUAAAUGACCAGAUAACUGGAUAUAUUGAUAAACAAGUAAAUGACCAGAUAACUGGAUAUAUAUGAUAAGUAAAUGCUUGAACAAAUAUAUGAAUAAAAAUUUAAAGCAAUGAAUAUAACCUCAUAUAGUUGACCAGAUAACUGGAUGAGGGAUCUGCGUAAAGUAGUCAACCUCUGUAUUUGACCAGAUAACUGGAAGAGGGAUCCUUUUCAAUUAAGUGUUUUUUAGUUGUUUUUAGAUGAAAGAUAAAAACUAAAGUUAACAAAGAACAACACAAGAGAUUUAUACUGGUUCACCCAAACAAGGGUUAAUCCAGUCCCGACCAACUGUCGGAAUUCACUCGCCUAAAGGUUAUGGUAAAACCUUAGAGUAUCAAGGAAACUCUUAAGAACCUCUCUAAGCUUUAAGGCUACUUCGCUUAGGAACCAGUCUUUUACGAGUAGACUCACACCUUGAGUAUCAAGGGCACUCUUAAGAACCUCUAACUUUUGCGGGUAAGUUAGUACCUUGGAGUAUCAAGGAACUCUUAAAAACCUCUCUAAGCUUUAAGGUUACUUCUCUUAGGAACCAGUCUUUUACGGGUAGACUCACACCUUAGAGUAUCAAAGGCACUCUUAAGAACCUCUAACUUUUACGGGUAAGUUAAUAGCUUAGAGUAUCAAAGAACUCUUAAAAACCUAGAAAUCUUUCAAGGUAGAUUCGACCUAAGAGUUUUCCCGGAAACUCUAUAAAACCAAACUAGAGCUUUAUGGUUGAGCUCGAAAACCUUCUCUCACACUUUGGUACUAUUGAGACAACCCUCUCAACCAAAGUGGACACACACAAGAGGUGAUUAGAGGAGUGGAAUAUUAAAGCAAACAACACUUCUUACUUGUAAAGAUGAACAAGAAGAUUAGAAGAAGUUGGAGAGCUUUUGAAGCUUUG